rnacentral:rRNA from 1 species
CCUACGGGAGGCAGCAGUAGGGAAUCUUCCACAAUGGGCGAAAGCCUGAUGGAGCAACGCCGCGUGGGUGAAGAAGGUCUUCGGAUCGUAAAACACUGUCGUCAGAGAGGAAAGUGCGGGGGAGUAACUGCUCACGUUUCGACGGUAUCUAACCAGAAAGCAACGGCUAACUACGUGCCAGCAGCCGCGGUAAUACGUAGGUGGCAAGCGUUAACCGGAGUUAUUGGGCGUAAAGGGAACGCAGGCGGUCUGUUAAGUCGGAUGUUAAAGCCUUGGGCUUAACCGGGGCAGUGCAUUGGAAACUGGGAGACUUGAGUGCAGAAGAGGAGAGUGGAAGUCCAGGUGUAGCGGUGAAAUGCGUAGAGAUAUGGAGGAACACCAGUGGCGAAAGCGGCUCUCUGGUCUGUGACUGACGCUGAGGUGCGAAAGCGUGGGUAGCAAACAGGAUUAGAUACCCGGGUAGUC